ensembl:lncRNA
CUGAAUGCAAAUGCAGCACGGAUGUUAGCAACACAAAACUAGAUCAGUCUGGCAAGAGGAAAGCCAGCCCUGGACUUGCAUCAGCGGUGCUGGUCUGUGGGUUCCAAAUGCGGCAUCGCUGCAGAGCCGGUUAGACAAGGCUCCCUGACCUCCUCUACUUGGCAGGCUUUCCUCUGCAUUUUUGGCUGAGAGACAAACUAUACUUUCCCCCCCUCCUCCCCAAGCCCUCCAACUGGUCCCAGUAUGUCCUGGUGCAGGUGUGCUGGUGGGCAAGGUGAGGAGAGAUUUCAUCACUCCAGCAUAUGGGCAACGCAGCCCUUCUUGAAGAGCCCCUCAUUCCCAUCCUGGGGCAUCUGAGUUCCUGAAGUGGGCACAGUGUUUACAGAGUCGGCAAUGGGAUGUGCAGCUUCGCAUCAUCUUAAGGCAGAUCAAUGCGUCGCCUGCCUUGCCCUGCUCUCACCAGUAGAGAUGUGGUAGCCCGUUGGUCUUCCUGCUAUUGCUGUGAUAAGAAGCCCCCAAAAUGUUUCCGUUGCAGCCAUCAUGUCAAUCCAGGCCUUGAUGCAGUUGAGCACUGAAGAUACUUGGCCCUCCUUGUAACACAGCUUUACUUUGGUCCUGCGUGGUUUAAGGCACCAGACUCUCACUGGAGUUUACCUAAGGACUUGGGAUCUCACCAUUUUUAGUGGUAUAUGGAUACUUCAAACAAAGCAUCGGAGAAUUUUUAGUGUUCUUACUUAAAGAAAACCUGAGGUCAGAAACCGAGCUUUCUCAGGAAAUCUGUGGUCAGAGCAGGAAAGAGGACCCAGGUGUCCCGAGCUCUUAACGUUCAGCCUUUCCUCUCCUGCCCCCAAGCUGCCUGAGAGCAUGUUUGGAAGGAUGCCUGCUUGCUCAGAUACGGUGCAGACCUUCCUUCUUCUCUCGCCACAGCUGUGAACUUCUAGGAGGUCCUUAUACUCUCAGCCGGAACACGUCUGAGUACGUAGACGAAACGUCAGGACCAGGACUGAGUGUGUGCCACUGAGAAGAGAAAUCCCAUCUGUGCUGUGGAGCAGGAGCUUGGUUUUGGUUGUGAUUUCUCCCCACCAGCUGGUCUGAGUAAUUACAUAAUGUAUCGAGCCAAGACAUCCUGCUUUAUGCAACAAGUAAAUUCAUUUACAACCAUCUUUUAAAGCAAAGAAGAUAUACACUGCAUGUCCUCCUUUAACUGCACUACUUUUAAGAGUGCAAUCAACAAGCUAUUCAUUAGCUGGCUAGCAUAACAGUCUCAGAGGAGGCUGUGCCUGUUUUUCUUCUGCCCAGGACCUGCUCUGGUGUCAGGAGGUGAUGCAGUAGGUGCCUGCUGUGGCACAUGACCUUUCCCAAGGUGUGAACAGAGCUUUCUUGGUUGCCUCACACUCCUUACAGGAACCGCGGGGUGAGUGCCUGGGAACAGAUCGCUUUCCUGGUUGCAUCUGUGCUGUUUCUCUCCAUGUGGACUGGGAAAUGUGUAUGGGGCAGGCUCCGUACAGGGGAAUAGCAGGGCAUUGCUGUAGGUACUAACAUUGGCAAUAGGGAAAGCUGGCACUGUAUCACUGCUCUCUUCUUGGAUCCAAGACAAGGUCUCACUGUAAGGUACAAAGGAAUAAGGCCAACCACAGCCACUGUCAGCUCUGCUUCCCCACAGACGUGGUAUGUUAUGAAGACAAAAGCCCGGGAAGCAAGAACUCCACCAGAGAGGGAACAGGUGGAGGAAACGUGAAAUACAUCCCAGCAGAUCCAUUAUGGACAGUAUUAGCACUUCAUCUGCAACGCAUGACAUCGUAUCACUGUUCCAGCUGCCGAAUCUUUGAAGUGCCUUGUGAAACUUGUUCAGAACUCUGCAAGAGGAUUUAGCUGCUGAAGCUCCCCGACCUGUUUCAGCAGGGGGCUGUGGGCAGUUGGCAGUUAUUGGCAGGACGAGGCUGAGGAGCUAAUGCUGGUGCUAGCAGGAAGGAGGCAGGCUGACAUCGUGGGUUAGGACUCCUAGGAAGUAUUAGUAAAGAAUAGCCCAUUUGUCUUUUUCCCUGCAAAAUAAAAAGCAAGCAUGCAAAUCAACAUGCACACACACCUGUGGGUGAUUGACGUGUUGGGCUGUUAUUGCCUUAUCCCUUGCACCUGCUUGCAUAGCUGUGACACCCAGAUUUGACUCUUGGGGAUCUCACGUGCUGUGAAGACACAUCUUACGUUGGGUGGUAUCCUCGAAAAUCCCUGUGCUAAGCAGAGCAAGUGCAAAGGUAAUAAGCGGGUGGGGGUGGAAAUGAAGAGGUCAACAAGAAGGGAAGGGAAAAGCUUCUGGAUGCCAUUCAGGAUAAGAUGGCUGGAUAGAGAUGGAAUGGGAAUAUUACAGAGGAACAAGCCAGAUAUAGUACAAGUAGAAGCCUGGUUCUUCUGGGUGGCCAGGUGGGGAUCUAGGUCUGCAGCACAACAGAGAGAGCGGCCAAGUCAAUCUCAGCUUCAACAAGCAUACUGCAAUAGCUGAAAGAAAACAUUUAAGAAAAUGUCUACCAUCUAAAUGAAAGCUUGUCUGGGCUAGUUUAAUCUGUAUGGCGGAUGUUUUUUAUGUAUCAUGUGACUUGAUGCUACAGCACUCACUCCACGUGGUUAUCGCCAGAGCAAUGGCAGCAGCGCGUGCCACAUUUUCUGCCUUUAGAAACACAAAGCCUUGUCUCACAGAAGCUCAGACAUGCCCUGGCUGAUGGGAGCCGCAUCCUUCUGCGUGAUGGUUUAAAAAUAACAUGUGCGCACGCAGAGCAACAAGACAUGCCUUCCCUGUUCCUGCGGCUUCCUGAGAACACAGCCGGAUGUUUUCAGGCCAUGCUAGGGAUGGCCCAGGGAGAGGGGCCAUAGAAGAGUUAGCAGGGAUGGGUCUGAUCACAGGACGUGGAUGGAGAAAUGGCUAGUCAUAUCUCCAGAUCUGACUGCAGAUAGCAGUAUCAUAUUAUUACUCUAUAUACGAUGGUCUGCUGCAGAUUUCUGUGUCGUUGUGCCAGUGCUGAGUGAUUAUAUUGCCAUACACUAAAAAAAGAUGGCAAGAGGCUAUGCUGGUUUGCAACCUGACUCAAUGUUUUUAGAGCCUGACUAAAAGCAGAAGAAAGAAAAGAUGGUUGCCUGCAUCUGGAUCAUACAUUGCUUGGGUUACAGCAAACAGGGCUCUUUUGUACUAGAGGAUGCUUGGGGCAGUCUGAGAUUCCAGACAUUGGUGACUUGUCCUUCACGAGCAUCUGUAUCAGAGACCUCAUCUAAUGGUCAUCAUAGACAAACAUUCUCAAUACUCAGUGAGUUAUGCGGUUACACAGAAUUUGUUUCUUAACAAAAACUGCUUUGAGAGGUGCUGUGCUGUAGCGUGUUCCUUCUUGCUUUGUGGGCCUGGUGCAAAUCAUGACCUGCCAUGCUCCCUCCUUGGGACUGUCUCCCACAAUUUGCCCGAUUUGAGAGCAAAGAAGGAUGAAGAAGCAUUUCUCCUGGCUCAGCUACACAACUUCUUCUGUAUAUUCAAGUUGGGUAUUAGGAAUGAUUUCUUCUCAGAAAAAGUGGUGAGGCACUGGCACAGACUGCCCAGGGACGUGGUGGAGUCACCAUCUCUGUGGAAUGAAAAAUCCACCCUGAGCUCUUAUAUACAGAGAUACUAUCUUUGCUUCAGGAAAUAUCUGGUAUUUCUGGGGAAGUGUGACUACAGGCUUUCCUGGGGUUUAUAUCUUCCUUAGGCAUCUGCUACUGGCUGCUCUCAGAUGGCAGGGUGCCCAGCUAUGGCCCUUGGUCUGUUUUUAAGUGAGACCAGACAGGUUGGCUGCCAUUGUCAGCCUGUUCCUGACAGGUACAACACCCUGCUUCAAAAAUCAUCAUCUCCCCCAAGCUCAUUCGCAGUUCCCUGAUUGGAUGGAAGCUUUCAAUGCAGAAUUCUGCUCGGUGGUGGUGAGGAAGCCCUGUCCGUGCCAGAAACCUUCAUGUUGGAGAGCGAUGGUUGUUUCUUGGGAAAGGCUUGCAGAGCCACAGGGUGCACUAUUUCUGUGUGGUCCUGAUCCAGCUAACCUGGCCCAUGAUACGUGAAGGAAGCAGUAUACUGCUGUGUUGCUUUCCAUAUGUUAACACAGUUCUGGUGCCUUUUGGUAAUACAAGAAAAAGGCCCCGCCUGUUUUGCUAAGCACUGCACAAAGGUUUCCAGGGCAGUGCCUGGAAAUCUGUUAGAUUCCAGUAAAACCUGUAGGUUGCUCAAAAUGGUGACUUGUUGAUUGUAUCAUCUGUGCUCAAUGUUACCAACACAGAUUUCAAAAUGAGACUGGUGAAGGAAUUCAGAGAACUUCAAAUUGGUCAUCAGACUGUUUUGGCCUUACAUUUGCACUGUGUACAGGGAUGGGAGCAGAUGCAAGAGGAAGCAAUACGCUGGAUUUUGAUGGUUCUGUACAUCAGACAUGUCCAAGAUGGGCAGCGUGUAUCUCAGCUGCUGGUGUCCAUGUCUGGCUCUCAGAAGUGCUGCUGGGUCAAGCUCCAGCCUGUGAUCACCCUUCAGAGCCUGCCCAAAAAAUAACCAAGUGCUUUGGGAACGUUUGCAGUGAAGCUUCAUGCUGAAUGGGAAAUAUUAUUUCUUCUCUGUCCCAUGAUAUGUGUAUCAGAGGAGAGUCAGCCAGGCAGGAGCCAUAAAUGUGUAAGCAAUAUUUUUUUCAUUACAAACACUUUUCCCCAGGGAGCAAAAUUAAGGCCCUUGUUUGAAAGAACUGAGACCCUUCCUGAUGAUAUUUGGUUUUGAAUUGUGCUCCAGCCUCUCAAAGCCGCUGCUCAGGACUCUUUACUCCUUACUGGUUCUAUUUUUUUUUCCUUUUCCUGGAGCAGCAAUAGGACAAUGACUCAUUUCAUAGGUAAUCUAGAAAUAACUUCCCUUUUACAAGAAGACAAAUUGCAAGCAAGGAAGACACAAUCUCUUGGGAAGCUGUGUGCCCUUUGGUAUAAAUCCAAUCUCUCCUGGGGCCAUCACAGCUUUGGAUUUGGAGGGGACAGUUUGGUGCAUACAGACACAAACUCAGCGCCGCUAACACAUCCCAACAGCUCCAUCGUUUCCCCUGAGCUUCUGCGGCCACUGUUCUUCACAGGCUCUCAAGACUGAGUUUACACCCUGGUGUGCCUCACCAGUCCCUUGUGUUUGGGACUCCUGAAACAUGGGCUUGGAGAUGAAGGGGGCUGCUCUGCUGCCAAGAGCAGCUCCCAUUGCUGCCCGAGGGGCAGCAGAACUGACAGACCACCACUGGUUUUAGAGCAGCUGCUAGAUAAGGUCCUGCACACGUCAUUCUACCACUCACAAAGCUGUCAGUAUAGCGUGUGUGUGAGGGGCAUUAAGACAGGUGACAUGAUAACCCAUGAACCAAGGCCAGAUUCUGCUGUGUGUGACGUCUGCUGACAGCCUUAACUGGCAGCGAAGCUUCAGGCCAAGUCAUUUAUAUCUGAUUGUCUGGAAAGGUAGAAAAGGUAAAAUUUACUUUGUUUACAGUUUACAGAUGCCCAUCGUCUGCUCAUUGACUCUCAGCAUCCCAAACGCCUCAGAGCUGUUUGUGAGUGCCCACGGAUUGAUGGCUGAAUGACUGAACACGCAGCACCACGAGGGCUGACAGUGCCCCAGUCUUGGCACUGACCAACACAGCUGUGCCCAGCUCCAGUGAGUCACCUCGCUGUCACCUUGAGGUGGGACAGGCCAUCUUCUGAGGUACCCUAGCUUAGAAGCUUGGAUAACUGGAGAAGACCAGCUCCUGAAUACCAGUCGGGCAAUGGCAGGAGAUGACUCCCACUCUCAUGAUGGAGAAGACAACUCCCACUCUCUCUGGGAACUUAAAAUGUCCGUAUUGAUUUCUUAACCUGAAAUGUGCUUUGAAAACCCUGUCUGGAGAGCCUGCUUUGUCUCCCUGCACCUAAAUACUUUUGAAGCGUGGUCAGAGAUGCUCCCAACAUGUGCUCUGGAUUCUCUGGUGAGAGACACAGGAGGAAGUUUUGAGGUGGAAGAGCAGCAUCGGUGUCAAUUUGUUUGGAAGGAUUUUUGUGGACUGGACUUCUGUGGCUUUGCUUGCUUCCUGUUACUCUUAUGUUAUCAGCAUGAAAAUAUUAAAUUAGGUGACCAAUGUAGCCAGUAAGGCUGGCCACAGCUAUUAUAUAACGUCUGGUUGCUGUAAACAUCUCCAUGAUCGUUUCUUUGAUUGCAGUGCAAACAUAUCCUGUGCACAAUAUGUGGGUUACCAGGUAGAGUUAUGUCAUGACUCAGGAUGAGCCAAUAUCAUAAGCAAACGUUAAUGAAGGGUGGGAUUUUCAUUAGUUUCCCCGUAUUGACCUAUUUCACUUCCUAUCCAAGGCAGCAGCUGAAAAGAGCUGGCCUAAAUGGAUCAGCGUUCUGCAGCCCAAAAUCGUGAUGCAGGGCUGGAGGGAGCCCCGUUCUACCCAGGGUGGCUGUUCUCAUCUGACAUUAUGACAAAUAGUCCUAGGCUCCUUCUGUAUUAAAAAUAAAAGCCUUGAACUUGCAUAUUUCCUUAUGGAAAAAAAAAAAAAAAAAGCUAUCUUGGGAUCCUGCUUAUACAACUGGAACAACUUUUGUUCUCCACCCCACCUAAAGACAAGCAAAAGGCUUUUAUGUUCUCUAGGUUAUUAAUGGACGGGGCUUCCUCUGCUGAGAGGAUGUUUGGAGCACUGCUAAAAUCUCUGCUCAGGUCCCUUGAAUCAGGACAAGUGAUCUUACAUCACCUUCCUGAGCUAAUUGCCAGCCUCUAAAAG